AGGUCUCUCUUUUGUGGUAUUUUUGGAUCCUUACCAAGGCAGUGAUGGUAUAUGCCUUCUCUCAAGAUAUGUGGUAUUUGUGGUAUGAGGCAUAGUGACAUUGUCUUCUCUCUCACCCUACUCUAAUAAGGCUUUAAUAUCUGGAGCUCAUAGGUGGGAGAUAAAAUAUACAUACUUACAAGACAUUUAUUGCAUAGUCAAACCAUGGAUCCAAAGUAACAAGUCAAUAAGCCAAAUCAAGAUGUGCAUGUGUGGCGAAUGAAUGGUAUAUGGUGAUGAUGGUGAUAACAAUGGUGGUGGAAGUCUAAUUCUACUUUGCUCUUUUGAGGGGAUACAUACCUUCCUUGCUUUUGAAACUUUAUGAGGAGAAUGAGAUGCUCUUCUUUUUCUUUUCUCUCAGGUGGGUAUCUUGCACCCCUAAUUCUACUGUCGGACACUUGUCCAUUUUUACCUCUCGUCUCACUUUUUCUUUUCUUUCGAGGUUCCGAGCACUUGCUCCUUUUUAUUUCCUCGUAUUAUUUUCUCUCUUUUUUUUAGAGCAUUCAUCUCUUGAGAUAAUAUAGCAAGUGGUAAUAACAAGAUAACUUGAGCAUUAAUUUCACAAGGGGAAAACAGAAAUAUUUUUGGUUAUUCUCUCCCGGAUUAGGAGUAGAAUAUUUUUGGUUGGUUCUGGAGAUGGAAUGGGUGAAUAUAUGUGGAUGGUACUUCCGGAGUAGAAGUAGCAUAUAUGAGUGAACGUGCAAGUGAAAUCUUGAUUUAACCACAUGACAAGCUCCUAAGGGUCUACACAGCUUGACCACACUCAAUGCUCAUA
rnacentral:lncRNA from 1 species